rnacentral:rRNA from 1 species
GACGAACGCUGGCGGCGUGCUUAACACAUGCAAGUCGAACGGAAAGGCCUCUUUCGGGGGGUACUCGAGUGGCGAACGGGUGAGUAACACGUGAGUAACCUGCCCUUGACUUUGGGAUAACUUCAGGAAACUGGGGCUAAUACCGGAUAGGAGCUCCUGCUGCAUGGUGGGGUUGGAAAGUUUCGGCGGUUGGGGAUGGACUCGCGGCUUAUCAGCUUGUUGGUGGGGUAGUGGCUUACCAAGGCUUUGACGGGUAGCCGGCCUGAGAGGGUGACCGGCCACAUUGGGACUGAGAUACGGCCCAGACUCCGACGGGAGGCAGCAGUGGGGAAUAUUGCACAAUGGGUGGAAGCCUGAUGCAGCACCGCCGUGGGCGGGAUGACGGCCUUCGGGUUGUAAACCGCUUUCGCUCAUGACGAAGCUUUGUGUGACGGUAGUGGGUAAAGAAGCACCGGCUAACUACGUG